rnacentral:snRNA from 1 species
AGCUUUGCACAGUGGCAUUAUCAUAGCCAGUGAGGUUCAUCCAAGGCGCAAUUAUUGCUAAUUGAAAACUUUUCCCAAUACCCCACCAUGUUGACUUGAAAUAUGGUCAGCAUUGGCAAUUUUUGACAGUCUCUACUGAGA